AUGGUGCUGUGGUGGCGGAAUCUCCCUGCGUCGGGCUAUGGCGCAUGCGCCACCAAGGCCUCAAACGACUCUACCCAACAAGCAACCCAAAGCUAUGGGGUCCACCCCACCCCGCCUGGACAGGGCGAUUCCCAGCAGAGCCAUCAGCACUAUGGACAGAGAGUUACGGUGGGGACAGCCAGUCAGCGGACACUUCCGACUCUGGCCGGAGCAGCUACGGCUCUCGCGGACAGACCCAGAACACAGGCUGUGGCGUUCCGUCAGCUCCCCGGGGACAUGGCUCCAUGGGUGGCUGUGGCAGCGGCCAGCAUUCUUCGUCUACGGGCAGCAGUCUUCCUACCGUGGCCCUGGCCAGCAGCACCUCGGGAAGUUAGGGGAGCGCUUCUCAGAGCAGCAACUAUGGGCAGCCCCCGAGUGGGGGUCCCCAGCCUGGCUGUGGGGGCCGACAGCACGGCUAUGCACGGCGGCAAAGCUCCUAUAAUCCCCCUCCGGGCUACGGACGGCAGAACCAGUGCACCCGGAGCAGUGCAGGGGGCCGUGAAGGCGUGGAGGGAACUCCGGCCAAGCUCAGGCCCCCAUGGGCCGCACGGCAGUCAGGACCAGACCGGUGGUGACGGUGGCUGUAGGGGAGGCCAGCAGGGCGGAGGGGGUCACGGCCGGGCGGUUGUUACAACCGCAGCAGAGGUGGCUAUGACCCCAGAGGCCAUGGAGGUGACUGUGGGAACAGAGUUGGCAUGGGCGGAAGUGACUGUGGUGGCUUCAAUAAAUUUGGUGGCCCUCAGGACCAAGGAUCACAUCAUGACUCUGAACAGGGCAAUUCUGACACCACGACCAUCUGGACCUGGGCGAGAAUGUCACCACAGAGUCAGGGGCCGACUACUUGAAGCAGACUGGCAUUAUGAAGACGAACAAGAAGACAGGACAGUCCAUGAUUAAUAUGUAUGUGGACAGGGAAAAGGGAAGCCGAAGGGAGAAGCAAUGGUGUCAUCUGAUGAGGCCCCUUCUGUUAAAGCGUCUACUGACUGGUUUGAUGGUAAAGAAUUCUCUGGAAUCUUAUCAAGAUCUCAUUUGCUACUCGGCAACUAGAUUUCAAUCGGGGUGGUGGCAGUGGGCAUGGAGGCCAAGGGUGAAGAGGACCCAUGGGCCGUGGAGGGUGGAGGCUACGGCAGAGGUGGCAGUGGCUGGGGCAGAUUCCCCAGCAGGGGGACAGUGGUGAGCUGGGGGCUGGAAGUGCCCUAACCCUACAUGUGAGAACAUGAACUUCUCUUGGAGGAUGAAUGCAACCAGUGUAAGGCCCCUAAACCAGACAGCCCCGGAGGGGGCCCAGAAGGCUCCCACAUGGCGGGUGGCUAUGGAGAUCAUCAUGGUGGUGGGGGACGCUAUGAUCGGGGCAGCUCCCGAGGCCGACGUGGGGACCAUGGGGGCUUUCAAGGGGGCAGGGUGGUGGGGACAGAGGUGGCUUUGACCUUGGCAAGAUGGACUCCAGGGGUGGCCACAGACAGGACCUCAGGGAGAGGCCACAUUAG